rnacentral:rRNA from 1 species
UGACCUCGGAUCAGACGUGAAUACCCGCUGAANUUAAGCAUGC